GCUUGGGGGCAAAUGCCAUCUAUGAAACAUUUCUCUCAGAAAACAGGAGGCCUAAACUAAUGUUCUAAUGUUGCUUUUUUCCUUAUUUUUGUUUCCCGCAGAGCACUAAAAAACAUCAAGAAUAAUUUUUUCUUUCCUGUUUUAUGGCUGAAUGAGACGGCUAUUAUCGGUGAUGAGAAAGCAGAAUUUUUCCGAUCAAAUGUGACCAACAAGAUCAAGUUGCUGAACAUUGUCCAAAUCGUGCUCAUAACCCUUGGCUCCGUGAUGUUCCUGGGAUUCCUCAUUGCCGUCUGUGCUUGCAGGAAGAAGGAUCCCAAAUAAGUAAUAGAAAAAGCAGAAUUUUGAAUCCGGAUGAAUUAAUUUGGCUCCACCGGAUUCUGGUUGGCGUUCAACAUUAAAAUAAAACCAGCGUCAAUCAAUUAAAAAAAACAAACAGAAAA